rnacentral:rRNA from 1 species
CGGGGGAGCAAGCGUUGUUCGGAUUUACUGGGCGUAAAGGGCGCGUAGGCGGCCACCGCAAGUCGACUGUGAAAUCUCCGGGCUUAACCCGGGAAGGUCAGCCGAUACUGCGGGGCUAGAGUGCAGAAGGGGCAACUGGAAUUCUCGGUGUAGCGGUGAAAUGCGUAGAUAUCGAGAGGAACACCUGCGGCGAAGGCGGGUUGCUGGGCUGACACUGACGCUGAGGCGCGAAAGCUAGGGGAGCGAACGGGAUUAGAUACCCCGGUAGUCCUAGCCUUAAACGAUGAAUGCUUGGUGUCUGGGGUUUUAUAGUCCCCGGGUGCCGUCGCUAACGCUUUAAGCAUUCCGCCUGGGGAGUACGGUCGCAAGACUG